UUCCGUAGGUGAACCUGCGGAAGGAUCAUUAAUGAAACUUCAAAGUCGGCCAAAGGUUGUUGCUGGUGAUUAUUCACAUGUGCACRCCUUUGGUCGCAAAUCCACACACACCUGUGCAUCUAUGACUCGAGGUUGUAAUGACUGAGAGUAACUUUUAUACACUCUUGUAUGUAAUGGAAUGUCUUUUUGUGCUAUAAUGUACAAUAUAAACAACUUUCAACAACGGAUCUCUUGGCUCUCGCAUCGAUGAAGAACGCAGCGAAAUGCGAUAAGUAAUGUGAAUUGCAGAAUUCAGUGAAUCAUCGAAUCUUUGAACGCACCUUGCACCCUUUGGUAUUCCGAAGGGUACGCCCGUUUGAGUGUCAUUGUAAUCUCACUUCUACAACUUUAUUGUUGUUUGAAUGUGGACUUGGAUGUUGCCGUUUUAUCACGGCUCGUCUUAAAUGCCUGAGUGUACCCUGUUUUGCAGCGUAUCCAGUGUAAUAAACAUUUCACUAGAGUUGGUYGAAAGACCRCGUUGACUAUAUGGGCUCUAUGCUUCAAACCGUCUGCCAUGUGGACAAUUUCUUGACAAUUUGACCUCAAAUCGGGUGGGACUACCCGCUGAACUUAAGCAUAUCAAUAAGCGGAGGAAAAGAAACUAACAAGGAUUCCCCUAGUAACGGCGAGUGAAGAGGGAAAAGCUCAAAUUUUAAAUCUGGUGUCUUUGACUCCCGAGUUGUAAUCUAGAGAAGUGUUUUCCGUGUCGGACCGUGUACAAGUUCCCUGGAACGGGGCGUCAUAGAGGGUGAGAAUCCCGUAUAUGCCACGGACUACCGAUGCUCUGUGAUACACUCUCAACGAGUCGAGUUGUUUGGGAAUGCAGCUCAAAAUGGGUGGUAAAUUCCAUCUAAAGCUAAAUAUUGGCGAGAGACCGAUAGCGAACAAGUACCGUGAGGGAAAGAUGAAAAGCACUUUGGAAAGAGAGUGAAACAGUACGUGAAAUUGUUGAAAGGGAAGCGUUUGAAGUCAGUYGCAUCUGUUGGGGUUCAGCCUGGCUUUUGCCUGGUGUAUUUCCUUUCCGAUGGGUCAGCAUCAGUUUCGACCGAGGGAAAAAGACAUUUGGAAUGUGGCUGUCUUCGGGCAGUGUUAUAGCCUUGUGUUGUAUGUCUCGGUUGGGACUGAGGAUUGCAGCGCGCCAUAAAUGGCCGGGGGUCGCUCCUCUCGACACGCGCUUAGGAUGCUGGCAUAAUGGCUUUAAGCGACCCGUCUUG
rnacentral:rRNA from 1 species